CCUCCCUGGCAGUGGGCAAAGAGACACCUUGUUGGUGGUGUUGCUCUUACAUCAGCAGGGGCAGAGCAGUCGGCAGUUAUUCAUUCAUCCUAGCUUGAUGCCUGCCUUGGUGACCAAAGCUGUUUCAUACCUGGGCCAUAUUA